rnacentral:tRNA from 1 species
GUUGUGGCUCAGAGGUAGAGCACUCACCUAGUAUGCGUGAAGCACUGGGUUCGAUACUCAGCAUCACA